GGAGUUGGGACUAAAAUGGUGUUUGGAGCUGGGACCCUCCUCAGAGUCCAAAGCGCUGAGGACGUGGAGCCGAAUUUCUACCAACUGGAGAAGGACAACACUCAGCUCUGUCUCGCCACCGGCUUCAGCAGACGCAAGAAACUCAAUGAGACUUAUCCCUUCAACGAAACUGAAGCAACCUUCAUCGACCGAGAGAACACUGACCCUGAAACCAAAGGCCUCUACAGCCAGGUGGCCUUCAUGAAACCUGGAGAUAAGGAGGAAUACUGUCAAGAGACGAUCGGUGGUUUUGUGGAAACUCUUCAGCCCGACCCUGUGGUGAACCUGGUUUCUUUGACGGUUCUCGGACUCAGAAUUCUCUUCGUCAAAACCGUCGCCAUCAACAUCCUGCUCACGCUGCGCCUCUUUAUCAGCCGCUAAAAUGUGUGACGGCUUCAGGAUCGUUCGUCUUCUUCACUUUCAAAUACGAUUCUCCAAAACUCUGACUCUGUUUAAACGGACACCAGAAAUCUGAUCAUAAUCCGAUCUCCGGAGUAAUCAGAUUACCGAUCCAUCUGACCUGAGUGAUCUGAUUUCUGUCUGAUCGUUCACUCGUGUGCAGGUCUGGACGAGGAAAAUCAAAACCAAAAAUGCUAAUUGUUGAUCCAAAAAUUUGAAAAAAAUGUGAAAGAUUAAAAGAGUUAUUCUAAAUUAAAUUGUACUUUCUACACACCAAAAUCAGAUUUCAUUAUGGGGUUAUCUGAUUACUCUGGAGAUCGGAUUUGGACCGGCUUUGAUGAACCGUUAUGUGAUUAUUCUGUGUUUAUAUUGUUCAAGUGUAAUUUACUGUUUUAAAUCCUUCUGUAAAAAUGUGACUAAAGAUGAAAAAAAAAGAACAGAUGCAGAUUUUUUAUGGAUUUUGAUGUAUUUUAUAAUCUUUAUUUUGUUAUAAUUUUGUUUCAUAUAUUUUCAUGUAUUUUCUAUUUUUAAAAUCAAAAUAAAAUCUUAUAUUGAAAUAUUAAAA